AGACCUGAGGCUUGGCAAAGUCUGAUCUCUGACUCCUCCCCAGAGAGAAACAGGACUUGAAGUACUGGAAGAAAUGGAAGAAACUCACUGUAAGAGAGAGCACAGGCUCCAGGGAACAUUCCGUGGUGUUCCAGUGUCUGUCUGUGCAUCUGAACAUUUAAGCCACUCUUCCAAGGAACCAAAUGACUUCCAAGGAACUGUGUCCAUAGGGGAACUCUUACAAACUCUCUCGAAAUCCAGACAACAUCGUCAUCCCAUGCAGACCCAGGGCAGUGACAGGCAAUGCUCAACUCUUAAGAAAAUCUGCAAUUCAUUUUAUGCAGGACAAUUCUACUGUUUUUGAAGUAUAUUUAUUUAAGCCUUUUCACAUGCCAGGAGGUAAGAAUAUUAUAAUUUCCUUCCAGAUGAAAUUACUCCACAAUUAUGAAUGAUUCAAAGAGCAUUAGUAUCUUAAACUAUGUUUUCUGUCCUACCACUGCCACCAACAAAAGCCUGGCUGGAUUUGCAUGAUUGCAACCAGGAUUAUGACAAGCUCACAGGCACAAAUGAGUCAUCGGAAGUUCACCUCUACACAACCUGCAUGUGUAUGCACCAGUAUUUUGAAAUGGUUCAUGUGAUCAUUUUCUCGCUUCAUUUACUUGAUUUUGAGAAAAUGAGAGUUUUCUUAACAAAGAUUCUAGUGAUGGACAUGAAGUUUUUUAGAGCGAGAAAUCCAAAUACCAAAUACCAAAGCACUUGAUGCUUAAGAUUUUAGUUGCCAAUAUUUAUGUAAAUUUUCAAAUAAAAAUAGCAUCUUGACAUACUCAAGGAUUAUAGUUUCCUCAUGGAUUACCAUGUCUGCUUUCAAACCUUACAUUCAAGGACUGAACAGGGAGCUUAUCCAUAGCCAAGGUCAUUUAAAUGUCAAGGACUGGGUGGAAUCAGGUAGCUACAAGCCUGGCAGGUGUGAGGGAACACCAAGGACAUAACCCUCAGCUCUGAAAAGGUGUUAUGUCACUCCCACCGAUAGCAAUUACCUGCUUUACCUCAGUCACAGAAAAGGCUGCUGGCUCAUUCUCUAGUUGUCAUAUUAACCUUAAUCACAGGGAAGGUGGCUGCCGAAUCAAGCUGUCUUAUUUAAAACCCUUGUCACUUACAAGGAAAAUGAUCCUGUUACCCACAGGCUAGGACAAAACACCAAAGAGGGACUAGACUCCUAGGACUGUAACAACUAUCCUAGGGAUCAGAUUACAAGAGUCAGACUUUAGGAUGUAUGCCCCCCUCCUUGGAUGUGCAUCUUGUGAACUUUGUGGCUCCUAUUAGCAUGCAGAAAUCCUAUAAAACCAUUAUGUUUUGCUAUUCUUUUCUAUUAAAUAAGAAAAAGAAUGGAAGUGGAAAAGGGAGGACAGAAGGGGGGAAAAAGGAAUUCUCCAUUACUUCUCCCCUGGGGACAGGUGCCAGAAGCUGCCUGUCACCUCCCUCAGAUCCCUUUCAGCAAUAAAGUAUGAGGAAGCCAGCAUCGGUGGGGCUACCACCCCACACUUCUUGGGAAGCAACAUAUUUGUUUAUAGGGAGAGCUUCAAGGGCAGACCAUUGUUAACCCUGUGAAGUCCACCUUAAUGAAACCCAGGAACACCCAUUCCCAUGUGCUCUUAGAAACAUGAAAUAAGACAAAAAUCUUACUGCUUUUUAAAACCCUAUAAUUACCACCUCCUUCAUAACCAUAAAAGCUAUGUUUAUUGAGCUCCACCUAUGUGCCAGGAACUCUCAAGUUCAUAACAUACAUUAUGUCUGAUCUCUCAUCCUUUAAAGUCCACUCACCUUGAAAAUGAAGAGACAAGUAGCUAGGGGAAGUUAAGCAGGGAAUAACUAUUAAAUGAAAGGGGUAAUAUUUUAAGAAGGCCAGGCUCAUGCUGUUUCUACUGAGAAAAAUUUUAAAAAUGAAAGAAAAUAAAAAAACAACCCCCCUGAAAAACAGUGUUCCUAUUCUUCAAAGAAAAAUACCUAUUAUGUAUUUUUUUAUGUAUCAGUUCACUGGGAGAAUAAAGGUACUAGAAUAUGCAACUAUAAAUAUAGGACUUUGACGUAAGAAAACUUAAAGGUGUCUAGUUUCUAAGGGAAAAAAAUGGCUUAAGUUAAGCCAUGUGACAUUCAAAAACUAGUUAUGAGGAUUAGACCUAUAAAUCUAAAGACUAUUUUUUCAUAGCUUAAAUGAGUUCGUCCACAGCCUCAGUCCCAGGACUCUUCCGGGGAAGAUAUUUCAAUUAUGGACUGCUGUGAAAGCAACUGUUUUUGAAAUAGCAUUACAAGCACCACCACUAGGCUGCAGGCUGACUGGGGUUGGCUGGGUGUUUCUGCUGCUCUGCUUGACACCAACUGGGGCCUUCAGUCAGCUCAAGGCACAGUGAGGCUAAAGCAUUCAAGAUGGCUCACACCAGAAACCAGACAGCUGGAAGCACCCUGGAUGUUAAUGAUAUGCCAGCACGGGGCUUCUCCUCCAGGCUUGAGUUUCUCACAGCAUGGCAGUUGUUGAUGAGAACUGUCUAUCUACAGAGACUGGAAGCUCAAGGUAUCACACUCUUGCUAGGGGAGUUGCCCAAGAUAUUAUCAUUCUUCUUGGUUUGUUAAGUACUCAUGGUGCCAGCCCAGACUCAGAGUGGUAAUACAUCUUAAUGGAGAGGGAUUAAAAAAAAAUAUGUGCUGCUGCCACAACUCACCAACCACUUCAGGUAUGGAAGUUAGUGCUAGAAACUACAGCAGGGUCAAGAGGGGUCACUGAACGCAGAAUGGAUUUGGUAACACCAAGUCAAAUGUGCAAGCAUUUCUGAUCCACUUUUCCAAUCCUCUAGCUUCCUUUUAAUCCAGGAGCAAUGAAAUGAGGAAGAAAAAAAAAAGCCACUACAUUAUCAAUGAAAAUACUUAAGGCCGGAGAUGUAGCUCAGUGGGAGAGUGGUUGCCUAGCACACAAAUGACCCCAGUUCAAUCACAACAACUAAAAACCAAACAAAGACCAACAAUUAAAAAAAAAAUCAUCAAAUGCUCAACCAUUGAAUGCCACUGUGAAUUGGAUACAAGCGAAGCAAUUUAUGUCUGCGCUCACUUCAUUUCUGCUCCUAUUAUCAGCAGUAAGUAUAUUAGCUUGAGGAAAUGAAAGGGAUUGACAAAUGUCAUUUUGCUUUGAUCAUAUAACCCAAACUUAUUCUCUCUUUUUUUCCUUUACUUUUCCACUUGAAAAAGUUUACCAGAGCUUCUAUUUUUUAGAGCUUCAAAAAGAGAGAAUUUACUUCACGUUGUGUAACCUAGAAUGGUGACAACAGAAACAUCAUUUUGACGUAAUCACAGGCAUAAGUGGUGAACCAUCUAUUUGUUAAUGAAAUGCGAAACCAUUGGGAUUACAAGACAGCUCAUGGGCCUAAGUGGAGUUUUACAAACUGGCUGCUUUAUCAGACCAUAAAUACCCAAAAGUCUUCAUCAGGCUAGAACAUCCCCCAGUCUACACGGAGCUUCUCUUACUUUCCCAAUUCACAGGGCUUUAGUAUUUAUCUUUCGUGUGUGACAGGCUCUCAUGGUACAGCCCGGGCUCACCAGAACUUAUCCUACAUCCCAGUGUGACUCCAAACUUGCAGCAUUUCUGCUGCCCCAGCUUUUCAAGAUUAGCAAUUAUGGGCAUGUGUCAUCACACUUGGCUUCCAGGCAGAUUACUUGGCCGCCUCAUUUACUACAUGCGCUCGGUCACAUGUUAUUCAAAUGUAUCUCGCACACAGGGUUAAGGAGACAAUUUCCCUGAAGAUCAAAAUGAUUGAUAACUGCUUAUCCCAGAAGUAGAACUGUGAGCUACUCAACAUUUAUUUUGUUUCAUUUUUUUUUUACUACAAAUUGAGAUAGAGCUUCAUAGACUUUAUUUCCUUAAAUAUACUGGCAGGCAUUUAACAUCCGUCUGUCUGUCUAAAUGGUCCGUGUAUUCCCUCACAUUUUUUCUAUUCUUUAAUGUCCAGAUCACAUACUUCCUUGUAAAGUUUCUAAUUAGAAAUUGUUUUCUAAUUAUGUCUUAAGUGAACCAAAUCUAGUGAUCAUCAGCCAUCAUAGAUCCUACCAAAGCCAAUAGAAGAGUAAGAGAAAUGUGUAUUUAGUUUUUGAUUCCCCCAGUAAUUUUCUCUCCCCAGUGAAAAGGUGCCUGAUGAAGCAAACCAAACCUGCAUGGUGUUUCACGAUCCUUCACAGGUCAGAUAGGGACUGACAAAAAAGCCAUUUAUUCUGUGGGGUAGGGAUGCUGCGCUCAUGGGGGGGUGGGGUCGGGCAUCAAGAUGGUGAGCAUUCAUCAUUCUUACCCACUGGAAUGAUCUCGGAGAAGAGAAUUUUACUCAGGUUCUAAGAUUCUUUUGUGAGAUGCUGCAUCGUCAUCCUAUCGAUCGCCUGUAGUUCCCUGUGCUCCAUUUGAAACAUGAUGAUCAAUUAGCUCUGGCACAUCUUAUCCUUCAUAUGCGAUUCCAGUAGAGAGCCUUGGAUGUAAGGUUGUCAGGACAGCUCUUUUCGUCAUAUAUAACAGUUAUAGAAAGUUCAUUUUACUUUUAUAGGGAGAUGAUGUUGCAUUCCUCAUAAGUGAAGUGUGCAGCUAUGUACAAGCCCACUUCUGUAGGUGGGAAAUUUCAGUUUUGCUAUUGUAAAUGAAGCACAACUGUACAUAUUUGUCUAGCACAGUGAGGUAGUUCAAGCUAUCAUUAUUGCAACAUAAGAAUUUACAUUUUUAUCUCCACAUAAUUUCUUUAAUAUGCAUCUUGUUUUAUGUCACCUUCCUUUGAAAUCACAAUGAGUAUUGUCUUGCAUCUCAGUGGAAGUGAUGCCUACGAAGUGUGACUGCCAUGGUGUCAUCCACUCUAAAACAGUUAGAAGUGACUGAAGGUGACUUUUCAUUUAGUGGACAGCUCAUCAGAGUUUCAGCUUCUCUACUAUUUAAUUGUUAAGGGAGGGCCAUUAUGUUAUUUAUGCAUAGGGUUGUUAGACUAAAUAAUAACACUUUAUUA